GAUGAACGCUGGCGGCGUGCUUAACACAUGCAAGUCGAACGAACCUUCGGGUUAGUGGCGGACGGGUGAGUAACGCGUGAGAAUUUGCCCUCAGGAGGGGGAUAACGGCUGGAAACGGCCGCUAAUACCCCAUAUGCCGCGAGGUGAAAUGAAUUUUGCCUGAGGAUGAGCUCGCGUUUGAUUAGCUAGUUGGUGGGGUAAAGGCCUACCAAGGCUUCGAUCAGUAGCUGGUUUGAGAGGAUGAUCAGCCACACUGGGACUGAGACACGGCCCAGACUCCUACGGGAGGCAGCAGUGGGGAAUUUUUCGCAAUGGGCGAAAGCCUGACGGAGCAACGCCGCGUGAGGGAUGAAGGCCUUUGGGCUGUAAACCUCUUUUAUCAAGGAAGAAGAUUUGACGGUACUUGAUGAAUAAGCCACGGCUAAUUCCGUG
rnacentral:rRNA from 1 species